rnacentral:rRNA from 1 species
UACGGGGGGGGCAAGCGUUGUUCGGAAUUACUGGGCGUAAAGGGCGCGUAGGCGGUUUGCUAAGUUGAAUGUGAAAACUCUGGGCUUAACCCAGAGCCUGCAUUCAAUACUGGCAGGCUAGAGUUCUGGAGGGGAUAGCGGAAUUCCUGGUGUAGCGGUGAAAUGCGUAGAUAUCAGGAGGAACACCGGUGGCGAAGGCGGCUCUCUGGGACGGUACUGACGCUGAGACGCGAAAGCGUGGGGAGCGAACAGG